CUGACCCCAUGCCGAACUCAGAAGUGAAACGCCGUAGCGCCGAUGGUAGUGUGGGGUCUCCCCAUGCGAGAGUAGGGAACUGCCAGAC
rnacentral:rRNA from 6 species